UCAUUUUUCUCUUCCUCCUCCGCUGCGACAACCUUGCUGACCUCCUGGAGGUAGCUGGGGUUGUCAAACAAGCCCAGAACCUCGGACAUCAGGGAGGGGCCGAGAUCCAACGUGAAGGAGGCAGCGCUUCACGUUGUUUGCUCUGCUGGAGACUGAGCAGCAAGAGGCGCACCACAACAUGAUCUCACCAUAUGUGCAGAUGGCGCUAUCUGUCGCGCUGAUGGAAUUCGGGAGCCUCGGCAGGCGACCAUUGGGAGGAUCAAUGUUGAGUUGGGGCAGCGAAACGGCGUUCUUGAUGAUGGGUGAGAUGUCAGGCGGCGGGGAUGAAGAGUUCCGAGGUUCCCCCCGUGGCCCAGAAUUCUUCCGGAUGUGCCUGAAGGUACGUGUGAAGAAGCCCGUAGACUUGGAGCUGUUUGCCGAGUCGGGGCUCCCCGGCUCUUUGACGCCUCCGUAGUUGCUGAGGAAAGAAGUGUCACCAAACACGUCUCCGCCGCGGCCCACGUGCAUGGUGUGUCGGAAGUCGCCCAGCGGCGGGCUGAUCAUGUCCACCGAGAGGUCGCUCUUGAAACGACGUCUCUCCUGAGAGCCUGCAGACACGAGGCCUUUAAUCCCUGGAAGUUUUCCGAGACUCAUGACGGACGGUUGGUGUCCUGUUCAAAAUUGUGGUGGAGUUCACUUUUAGACGGCUGCACCCUGUAAUUCCAACUUCGCCUCAGAUCUCACACGGAAAGUAAAGGCAGCGUGGCAACAGACAACAGGAAUGCUCGACCAAUGCGGCCAGCCGGCCGGCAAGCAGCCCAUCUUCACGUCAAGCCGUCAAAGGAAGAAAACAAAGGCCGACUCAAUCCAGGAGAAAAGCUUAUAGGUGAGAAUUUUGAUUUAUUUCAGGGAUUCAUUCAAGCAGGCAGACCGAUAUUAUUUCCAAAUCUUCUUCAACUUGAAAACGUCAGCUUUAUUUAUUUAUUCCUCCUCAUGGAGCCAUCUUCUGGGUGAUCGGGUGUCCAAUGCGGGUUCCUAAGUAUGGUGUCUUGUUUUAAUCGUGCAGCAUCAGCAUCAGCACUGAGACCGCAAACACACUCACAGACAGUUGGGGGGGAGAAAAAAAAAAUGAAAAAAUCAGGGUGGCCUGCCAGCUUUGUCACUCUGCCAAGAACGAGACACAUUCUUCUCCCAAGAAGCUCGUAAUUCUCGGCUCCUCUUGAACACUUUUCCUAGACAUUUCAAACCUACCCUCAAGCCCAGGCCAUUCUACACUCUGAAAAUUCCACCCACUCAAAAUGACAGCCAAUAUCCAAACAGCUUUGGUUUUUCCACAGUGGCUCAUGUUCACCCUGUUUCAUGACAUUUUGGGAUGAGACACAUUUCUUCAAUUGCUGCAUUUUGGAGUACCGUACAACCUCCACAAGUCUAUAAACUGAAACUGUGUGUCAUCGUGUUUUGAUGAUUACAUUGAGAAAAGGGUUUGGAGAAACUUACCUGCGAAGUGGGGCAGCUCCAAGGGUGAGUCACAAUGUUAUGACUCGAUUUGUUGAAGAUAUUCCCACCUUGCUAUGGCAAAACUUUAUUUCCUUCUACAGAUUAAUUCAAUUUUGUACAUUGGUAACAUUCAGUGGUGGAAAAUAGAAAUACUUAAUUACUGGCAUUCAGAACUGUUUUGUCUAAUCCUGAAAAAAUGAGAUCAACAUUAAAUUUUUUAGGGUAUUUUAGUUGAUUUUUUUUUACAUUUAGUAUUUUUACCAAUA